UACGUAGGUGACCAGCGUUGUCCGGAUUUACUGGGCGUAAAGAGCGCGCAGGCGGUCGUUCAAGUCGAGUGUGAAAGCCCCCGGCUCAACUGGGGAGGGUCAUUCGAUACUGCCGUGCUUGAGGACUGGAGAGGAGACUGGAAUUUACGGUGUAGCGGUGAAAUGCGUAGAUAUCGUAAGGAAGACCAGUGGCGAAGGCGGGUCUCUGGACAGUUCCUGACGCUGAGGCACGAAGGUCAGGGGAGCAAACGGG
rnacentral:rRNA from 1 species